rnacentral:rRNA from 1 species
GAGGCACUACGGUGCUGAAGCAACAAAUGCCCUGCUUCCAGGAAAAGCCUCUAAGCAUCAGGUAACAUCAAAUCGUACCCCAAACCGACACAGGUGGUCAGGUAGAGAAUACCAAGGCGCUUGAGAGAACUCGGGUGAAGGAACUAGGCAAAAUGGUGCCGUAACUUCGGGAGAAGGCACGCUGAUAUGUAGGUGAAGUCCCUCGCGGAUGGAGCUGAAAUCAGUCGAAGAUACCAGCUGGCUGCAACUGUUUAUUAAAAACACAGCACUGUGCAAACACGAAAGUGGACGUAUACGGUGUGACGCCUGCCCGGUGCCGGAAGGUUAAUUGAUGGGGUUAGCGCAAGCGAAGCUCUUGA